rnacentral:rRNA from 1 species
CCUACGGGGGGCAGCAGUGAGGAAUAUUGGUCAAUGGACGAGAGUCUGAACCAGCCAAGUCGCGUGAAGGAUGACUGCCCUAAGGGUUGUAAACUUCUUUUAUCUGGGAAUAAAAUGUUCCACGUGUGGGAUUUUGUAUGUACCAUAUGAAUAAGGAUCGGCUAACUCCGUGCCAGCAGCCGCGGUAAUACGGAGGAUCCGAGCGUUAUCCGGAUUUAUUGGGUUUAAAGGGUGCGGAGGUGGAUGGUUAAGUCAGUUGUGAAAGUUGGCGGGUGAACCGUAAAAUUGCAGUUGAAACUGGCAGUCUUGAGUGCAGUAGAGGUGGGCGGAAUUCGUGGUGUAGCGGUGAAAUGCUUAGAUAUCACGAAGAACUCCGAUUGCGAAGGCAGCACACUGGACUGCAACUGACACUGAGGCACGAAAGUGUGGGUAUCGAACAGGAUUAGAUACCCGUGUAGUC